GACCCGAAACGGAUCGAUCUAGCCAUGAGCAGGUUGAAGAGAGCUCUAACAGGCCUUGGAGGACCGAACCUUGUGGCUAGGGGUGAAAGGCCAACCAAGAUCGGAUAUAGCUGG
rnacentral:ncRNA from 1 species